AUACCACAAAUAAAUGGCAAUGGCAAGAAGAAAGAAAGGAACAUAAAGUGAAACUGAAGCCAUAAGAAAGAAAGCAACUCCAUAAAUUGUUACACCAAUUUUUGAGUUUUUCCAAACAAACUUUCUUCUCUCCUUCU
rnacentral:ribozyme from 13 species